rnacentral:lncRNA from 1 species
UUAGUUUAAUUUCACCAAUAAAAGUAUGGUUAUUAUAAAUCUGUAAUUAUAUACUUAUGUAGGAAUAUGAAAGGCACAUUCCAUAUAUUUAUUAGCAUAACAUUGCUAGUGGUCUGCUUUAUUCAACAUUCUUUCACUCAUUAAGUAUUUACUGGGCACCUUGUAUGUGCCAGGUAUUAGCCUAGAUUCACUGUUGAACAAAGCACACAUAUUCUUUGCCCUUUUUGAAUCUAUAAUUUAGUGGAGAAAAUAGGAAAUAAACAAAAAAGCAUAUAAUAGAUAGUAAGAAGUAAUUUGGAGGAAAAGCAGAGUAAAACAGAACAAGACACCACAUAUGUACUAUUUUAGAUGUAUGGUCAGAUAAGAUACUACUGAGGAGAUAGCAUAUGGGAAAACUCCUACAUAACAUAGAAUAUGAGCUAUGUAGUUAAAUGAGGGAAGAGUGUUUCAGGCAGUGCAAAGACCCUGAGGGAGUAUUUUGCUUUUACAUGUUUGAGGAACAUUAAGGUGACUGAUGCUGCUGGAAUGCUUUGUGUGAGCCACCGUGCCUGGCCCGGGAAUAUUUAGAAGAGAGUGAUCAUCUCUAUCAAAUACUUCGAUACAUUAAGGUGAAAACUGAGACAGGCUAUUGGAUGUGACCAAAUAGAAGUUGGUGGUCACCUUGAUAGGCAGUUUCAGUCAAUCUGAUUGGAGUGGGUUCACAAAAGAACGGGAUGAGAAGCAAACUUAGACAAUUUUCUGGGGACUUUUGCUGUAAAUAGCAGAGAAAUUGCAUAAUAGGGUUAAAAGAGAGGUUUAUUAUUAUUUUAUUAAAGGUGCAUUGGGAGUGAUCCUAUAGAAAGGAAUUUUUUUUAAUUGACAGAUAUGGCUUAUGGCUGUAAUCCCAGCAUUUGGGAGGCUGAGGCAGGCAGAUCAUUUGAGCCCAGGAGUUCAAGACCAGCCUGGUGAACAUGGCAAAACCCAUCUCUACUAAAAAUACAAAAAUUAGCUGGGUGUGGUAGCAUGCACCUGUAGUCUCAGCUACUUGGGAGGCUGAGGUGGGAGUAUAGCUUGAACCUAGG